CCGGCGCACGGGUGAGUAACGCGUAUGCAACUUACCUAUCAGAGGGGAUAACCCGGCGAAAGUCGGACUAAUACCGCAUGAAGCAGGGAUCCCGCAUGGGAAUAUUUGCUAAAGAUUCAUCGCUGAUAGAUAGGCAUGCGUUCCAUUAGGCAGUUGGCGGGUAACGGCCCACCAAACCGACGAUGGAUAGGGGUUCUGAGAGGAAGGUCCCCCACAUUGGUACUGAGACACGGACCAA
rnacentral:rRNA from 1 species